GAUGAACGCUAGCUACAGGCUUAACACAUGCAAGUCGAGGGGCAGCAUUAUCGAAGCUUGCUUUGAUAGAUGGCGACCGGCGCACGGGUGAGUAACGCGUAUCCAACCUUCCCCAUAGUCAGGAAUAGCCCGGCGAAAGUCGAAUUAAUGCCUGAUGUUUUCCACGGACGGCAUCUGAUGUGGAACAAAGAUUCAUCGCUAUGGGAUGGGGAUGCGUCUGAUUAGCUUGUUGGCGGGGUAACGGCCCACCAAGGCAACGAUCAGUAGGGGUUCUGAGAGGAAGGUCCCCCACAUUGGAACUGAGACACGGUCCAAACUCCUACGGGAGGCAGCAGUGAGGAAUAUUGGUCAAUGGGCGGAAGCCUGAACCAGCCAAGUAGCGUGAGGGAUGACUGCCCUAUGGGUUGUAAACUGCUUUUAUAAGGGAAUAAAGUGAGCCUCGUGAGGCUUUUUGCAUGUACCUUAUGAAUAAGGACCGGCUAAUUCCGUGCC
rnacentral:rRNA from 1 species